UGGCUCUGCAGCUCUGGGGACUCCCUCCAGCUGUCACCUGCGCUAGGUGAUCAUCGCUGGAGCCAGCCCCAGGGCGAGAAGUGCCACCUCUCUCCCUCUCUCUGCCCUCCUUUCCGCUCUCCUCCUCUCCCUCUCUUCCCCCGCUCUCUCUUUUCACCGAUAAUCAGGGCAGAGAGAUGUUCCCAGAAGCCGACCAGCAGCGGCAAGGUUCCCCUCCCCGUUACUCACAGCCAGGCGUUUCCUCAUCCCUGCAAAUUCUCCCUGCGCUGCUGGGUGCUGGGGAUGCUCCGGAUGCCGGGAUGCUGGAGAUGUGUGGGGUGCUCUGGGCAGUCAGGACGCUCUGCGAUGCUCCAGAUGCUCUGGACCAGGGGAUAAGGAGGACCACGAGAUGCUCAGGAUGCUUUGGACCCCCUGAUGCUCAGCUCAUGCCUCCCAGCUGUGCUUGCCCACUCACAGAGCUCUGUCCCCUGGGGCAGCGGGGCUCCGCUGAGCUCCUCCGUGCCCGAGCUCUGCUGCUGCAGCGGGAGGCAGCGAGGAGAGGCAGAGCAGCCCUGAGGCAGGCACGGGGAUGCUGCCAGCCAAGAUCGCCCAUGGAGAGGAAGAUGCCACACGCAGGAGUGUGGGAAGCCGCCUGGAGGUGUCCGUCCCCUGGCAGAGGACAUGAUGUCCAAAGGUUCUGUGUGGACUCUUCUGGCUCAUGGUGUUACACAGUCCCACUAUGA
rnacentral:lncRNA from 1 species